rnacentral:sRNA from 1 species
CGAUCUCCGCUCACUGCAAGCUCCGCCUCCAGGGUUCACGUCGUUCUCCUGCCUCAGCCUCCCGAGUAGCUGGGACUACAGGGACCCGCCACCACGCCCGGCUAAUUUUUUUGUAUUUUUAGUAGAGACGGGGUUUCACCGUGUUAGCCAGGAUGGUCUCGAUCUCCUGACCUCCUGAUCCGCCCGCCUCGGCCUCCCAAAGUGCUGGGAUUACAGGCGUGAGCCACCGCGCCCGGCCGGUACUCCGAAGCCCUCAGAUCGGCGACCUGGGCGCUGUAGCCACCGAGAAAAUACGGGCACCGAGCCAGGAGCAGUGCCGCAACCAAGAGACCUCGGCUCGGCGAAAUGGCGGCGUCUGGAGCCUGCCAGUGACGCCAGCCGGUGGGGCUGUGAAGGAGAACAUUCGUUACGGCGCAAACAACGGCACUGUCACCAAGAAACCGUCGUCUCUGAGAAAAAAAGAGACGUUCGGCCGCUGAGAAACUCCGUACAAGUGCUGUGACAGAAAAACCGCCGGCUCCGCCCAGCUGGCAAAAGAGCCAACGGGAACGCCGGGUGCUCCGACCAUGACCCCGGCACUGGAGGACGUGGGAUGGAGAAUGGGACACACGCAGCGAGAAGGGAAACGUUUCGUGCAGACCAACUAGCGCCGCCGCCACUGGAAAACUGACCCGCCAGUGCUGCCAAUGAAGUGCGUGUGAGAAACCCAAGAUUGGUGGGAGGAGCGGCGCUGGGCGCUGGACCCGCGAGUGCGAGAAUCUGGCGGCGCUAGGACCCUCCAGGCGCGGGCACGAGGCCAAAGCCAGCGCUGUUGCCAAAGACAAAUGCCCGUUCUUUUGGGGCGCCAUCAAAGGUGCAGCCAGCGAUCACUCCCAGGCUCUGAGAAACUAGAGAUGUCAGCCACAAACCCUCGGUUCAGGGAAAGGUGCGGCGCCGUGACGGAUCGACUGGCACUGGGUGCAACAUUCUCUUGUGGCCUAGAGACUAGAAUAUAAAAACAAAAACCAAAUACAAGACUGCUGCUGGCAUUUCUCCUACUCUCCCCCCUCAAGUCAGUGGCUUCAGGCUUAAGAAAACCUGUAUUUUUCUUGGCUGUGCCAUAAUCCGUAAUUACCGAGGCCCCCAGCGACCCACCCAGUGUGAUUCGCAGAGGGAAAGGAGCUGGAAUAAGGACCGUGAAUGGGGCGGAUGUGGUUCGUCCUGGGAGAGAGCUAAAGCUUGUGCGGGUCGCAAAUAGCUUUACACUGCAGGAAACUGCUCUUCCAAUGGCCCUGGCUGGGUCCUUCCACACCAUCCCUCUGCCCUAGACCUUUGUCCCCGUUCAGAGCCAUCAGAGAUUCUAGGAGAGCCGUCAACAACCGCAUCUCUUCGGAACUUGGAAACUCUAGGUUCAAGAUCUCCGUGGAGAAUGAAUGAAAGGCACAGUCGCCUGACCCAGGCAUCAGGCUUGCCCUGCACAUCAAGUCCUUCCCCUACUGGAUGGAACUCUGUGGCAAUCGCUCCUUAUUCUGAUGGUUCACUCUGUCAGAUAUCCUCGAUAUUUGGGGAUAGUAGUUCAAAAACAGCCGGGGAGGAAAACGGGCUGAAAGACUCCAGCGUUGGAUGUAGAAUUGACAGCGAGACAUACACCUCCUCUCUAAGCCCAGAGAAAAGCUCAAGCUGGGGUUCUCUGUCUCUAGCAGCAUGAUCUUCAAAAUGCAUCAUUGAUUUCUUUCUGUCUUCUGGGAAAUGCAAUGCAGGUGAACUCCUUUUCAUCUUAGCAAAAAAGUUGCAAUCAGCACCCCCUAGAUGGAAGGAAUAUCCUGUCUUAAUGGGAGUCCAUAGAGGCUGCAGGCUGCUCCCCUACAGAGACUGACAUCAAGGAGGAAAUCCGUGGUGCUUCAGGAUAUUGUGAAUUUGGGCCUCUGAAAGCAGAAUUCUGAUUUAACAGUAUAAUGGAAUUCAUGAACGUCAUGAUGCUAAUUUGAACAAACAAGCAGCCUUGUGAGAGGAAUGUUUUUCCUCAAGUCUGAAGAACACCAGGAGAAUCUUUCUGGAUGGAGUUACCAGGAAUCCUCUGCUGAGGAAAGUGAAAGGGAAGAUGCAAUUUCUCCUGGGAAGGGGGGAUGCUGAUGUAGAGGGUGACAAGUAAUAUGCCAUGAAGGAUUCAGUCACCUGGUUAGAUUUAGAGUUAGAGUUAUGGUUAAGGAAGAAGGAAGGAAAAAAGGGAGAAGAGGAAGAAAGGAAGCAAGAAAAGAUAAAAUUUAUUCUGAGAUAAAAUUUGUGAAUUUUGCUAAA